CAGAUAGUUCUGGCUUUGAAAAAAUAACACCAGUCUUCAGAGAAAUAUUAAAAUUGUCACCAUCUGAACAGAUUCAAUGACUAGAUAGAAAUUUCUUUCUUUAUGGCACUCAAAUACAAAUCUCUGACAUCACAAAUUCAUACAUUUCUAUGCUCACCAAGAGAUCAAUAAAAGUAUCUUACCAGGAAUUUGGUAGUAUCCCAAGAAUAUUUGAAAAAAAAAAUGUAUAGACAGUGUUAGAAACAGCUUACCCCUUGAUAUUCUAUUGUUAUUAUUUUUCCAGUUUAUCUGUUCAAUGGAUAUUCUAUCACAUUAGCAUAGCUUUGUUAUCAAAACUGCUUUGUAUCAAUGUCUUCCUUUUUUUUUCUUAAACACCCAUAAUAGCAACCUACCAAGACAGUAGACAAGAUAGCAAAGUAUGCCCCUGUCCUUCCCUCAGCAGUGUGGACAUGACAUGUGGGUAUGGAUUCACGCCUGCUGUCUCAUCUUCUUCACCAACAACUAAUACAGAAUUUCGAUUUCCAUUCGCAAUCUCCUUUUUCUAAUGCUUUCCAGUGAAAGAAAUAACUACAUCUCUAUUCAUGCCUCCUCUUUCUUUUUUAUUGGAACAUUAUAAUUUUGCAAAGCAGUUGGGUUCAUUUUGACAAAACACACAUGCAUGAAAUUUGAUUUCAGUCUCUAUUCUCCUCCUCUCUUCCCUCUUCCCUCCCACUAUUCUCCUUCCUCUAAUCUACUGAUCUUCCUUUCACUUAUUUAUUUAUUUUUGAUGGGUUAUUUCUACUUAUACAUAAAGAUGAAAUUUCCUGUGGCAUAUUUUUUAUGCACAUAAAGUGAUUUUGUUAAAUUCAUUCUGAAUUUCCUCCCCUUUCUUUUUCCUCCUCUUUCCCUCUCAAUCUCCUUCUACUCAACUAUCUUCCCUAUGUCUGUAUGAUACCCAACACCCCUGCUCCUCUUUUCCCCUUACUUCACUCUAGCCUCCACAUAUAAGAGAAAACAUUUUUGACCCCUGGUUUUCUGAUUCUUGCUUAUUUCACUUAGCAUGAUACUCUCUAGUCCAUCCAUUUACUGGCAAAUGCC
rnacentral:lncRNA from 1 species